UUACAAAUUUUCUAUUAACUUUUAUACUAAAAAAAGUUAGUUAACAAAAAAAAAUUGGAACUCUUCCAAU
rnacentral:tRNA from 1 species